UUCCCCACCAUAUAUGAUUUAUCCAUGCUAUUUUGAAUUAUGGUGAUUUCCAUCCUUACCUUUCCAGUCUACAUAUGCUCCCAAGACAGCAUUAAGAUUUAUUUGGAAUGGUAAACCAGGAGAUGUAGGAAGAACCUGCCCCACAUCUAACAUGAGGAAUAAAUACAGAAAUAUACCUGGUCUUGGAUAUUUUUGAUCUUCUGCUUGGUAGCGGAUUGCUCAGACUGGUCAUCUGAUUCGUCAAACAAUCUAUCUAGACCUUGUACUUGCAGUUCAACCUGAAAGAAAGAAAAGAAAAGAAAGAAAGAAAGAAAGAAAGAAAGAAAGAAAGAAAGAAAGAAAGAAAGAAAGAAAGAAAAGUAUUAUGUGUGAAGUGACAUGGAUGUAGUAUGCUGGGUCCCUGAUCUUUGUUAUAGUCUUCAUGUGAGAGUACACAAAGCUGGCAAUAUGGACAUUCUCCUCAUACAGCAUUGCAUUGGCCAUGGCUGUCACUAUAGAUAGAGAAGGGGCACUGUCUAGGAGGACAAUGCAAGCCAUUACUCGGACGGGCUCACAGCGUGAAACAUCCAUAAAGAUCUGAAGGAGUAAACCUUGAACC